rfam:Fukomys damarensis contig149060, whole genome shotgun sequence.
AACUAAGCGUGAUGAAGAAGUAUCCUUAGGCGUGGCUGUGGCCGUCUUGGUCACUUUUCUGCCAUUUGCCGAUGCAAGGACUUGUCAUAGUUACACUGACCGUUG